UUCACUAUUAGUUGACAAUGCCAUUUAUUAAGUUCAUUCAACCCUUAAAAGAAUAGAUCUUUGGAGCUGCUAGCACUCCCUUCACUCAGUGAAGAAAGUAUGUGAACCUUGGCAGGUGAAUUAGUCAGCUCAAACAGGUUGUCUAG